CAGUCGCCGCGGUAAUACGAAGGGUGCAAGCGUUAAUCGGAUUUACUGGGCGUAAAGCGUGCGUAGGCGGCUUCUUAAGUCGGAUGUGAAAUCCCUGAGCUUAACUUAGGAAUUGCAUUCGAUACUGGGAAGCUAGAGUAUGGGAGAGGAUGGUAGAAUUCCAGGUGUAGCGGUGAAAUGCGUAGAGAUCUGGAGGAAUACCGAUGGCGAAGGCAGCCAUCUGGCCUAAUACUGACGCUGAGGUACGAAAGCAUGGGGAGCAAACAGGAUUAGAUACCCCGGUAGUCCCUGUCUCUUAUAC
rnacentral:rRNA from 1 species